GAGAUGAGUACUUAUAUGGUGGAGGUGGAGGAGAUGGGUACUUGUAGGGAGGAGGAGGAGACUUGUACUUGUAAACUGGUGGAGGAGGAGACUUGUACUUGUAGACUGGUGGUGGUGGAGAUGAGUACUUAUAUGGUGGAGGUGGAGGAGAUGGGUACUUGUAGGGAGGAGGAGGAGACUUGUACUUGUAAACUGGAGGUGGAGGAGAUGAGUACUUGUAUGGGUUCUUUGGUGGUGGUGGAGAGUGAUAGUAGUAGGGAGGAGGAGGUGAGUGCUUUGGUGGUGGAGGAGAGUGGUAAUAGUAGGGAGGAGGAGGUGAGUGUUUUGGUGGAGGUGGAGAGUGGUAGUAAUAAGGAGGAGGAGGUGAAUGCUUUGGUGGGGGAGGAGAGUGGUAGUAAUAAGGAGGAGGAGGUGAGUGCUUUGGUGGAGGUGGAGAGUGGUAGUAAUAGGGUGGAGGAGGUGAAUGCUUAGGUGGUGGGGGAGAGUGGUAGUAAUAAGGAGGAGGAGGUGAAUGCUUUGGUGGGGGUGGAGAGUGGUAGUAAUAUGGGGGAGGAGGUGAAUGCUUUGGUGGUGGUGGAGAGUGGUAGUAAUAGGGUGGAGGAGGUGAGUGUUUAGGUGGAGGUGGAGAGUGGUAGUAAUAGGGUGGAGGAGGUGAAUGCUUAGGUGGUGGGGGAGAGUGGUAGUAAUAAGGAGGAGGAGGUGAAUGCUUUGGUGGGGGUGGAGAGUGGUAGUAAUAGGGUGGAGGAGGUGAAUGCUUUGGUGGUGGUGGAGAGUGGUAGUAAUAAGGAGGAGGAGGUGAGUGCUUAGGUGGAGGUGGAGAGUGGUAGUAAUAAGGAGGAGGAGGUGAAUGCUUUGGUGGUGGGGGAGAGUGGUAGUAAUAAGGAGGAGGCGGUGAGUGUUUUGGUGGAGGUGGAGAGUGGUAAUAGUAUGGAGGAGGUGGUGAGUGUUUUGGUGGUGGAGGAGAUUGGUAGUAGUAAGGCUUUGGUGGUGGUGGUGGAGAUGAAUAGAUGUAGUU
rnacentral:lncRNA from 1 species